rnacentral:rRNA from 1 species
GGAGUCUGGGCCGUGUCUCAGUCCCAGUGUGGCCGAUCACCCUCUCAGGUCGGCUAUGUAUCGUCGCCUUGGUGAGCCGUUACCUCACCAUCUAGCUAAUCAGACGCGAGCCCAUCUCAGAGUGAUAAAUCUUUGAUACAAAGAUCAUGCGGUCUCUGUAUGUCAUGAGGUAUUACCAUCCGUUUCCAGAAGCUAUCCCUCUCUCUAAGGUAGGUUGCUCACGUGUUACUCACCCGUCCGCCACUAAGUUAUUCUAAGUAAACUCAAAAUAACUCCGUUCGACUUGCAUGUGUUAAGCGUGCCGCCAGCGUUGUCCUCGUAGCCACUGAUCAAACUACU